rnacentral:siRNA from 1 species
UUGAGAUGCAUUAGCUGUAGC